UCUCCUCUCCUCUCUCUCCUCCCGCGCGAUUCUCCCCCGACCUCCGCCUCUUCUCAUCGACACCCCGGCCACCACAGGCCGGAUUGAUCUCCGCCGUGGGUACCGUCGGGACCGUGACAUCCUCGCCGUUCUUCCCCGACCCGCCGCCGACCGGGGGAAGCCCGGAACUGGCCGGAAUCUGCCAUUUUUGCCGAUUUUUCAGUUCGAACUUUGAGCUCCUCGUUCUCGCUCAAUUCUCCACCAAAUCGAUCGAGUAAGGCACCAGAGAACCAACGGAACCACAGAAGGGACCUUUAAGAGGUCCAGCUAGCUCGGACUAGCAGCCAUAGAAGUGCGCAGGAUCCACCACCGGGCCAUUCCUAGCUUCCGCGCCACCAAGUAAGGUAGAGUUUGUGGAAAAGUCCUUGAAACCCUGUAAACGUUAGAAAAUGCUCUGAUAUCUAGUUUAGUGGAAAACUGGAGCUGGUGAAUACUUGGUUAUUCUAUUCUGGCAGUUGGUGUGGAUUUAUUUAAUUGUUUAACAGGUGGAAGAUUUUGGGUUUAGUCAAAUUACAGGGGAGACUCUGCCGAAAUUUCGGCAGAAGUCCAGGGAAAGUUUUCAUAGUAACUGUAGCAGGAAGGGUAAAAUGGUCAUUUGUGCCCGUCAGUUGCCAGAUGUCGGACACGCACAGGGCUUGGUUCGAAUUCCAAAGUGGAAUUGGGAUCGGGUCCUGUCACAAACACGGAAUUCACAUGCAAUACAACAAACCAAAGUACAUCUCCUGGAGUUAACA